AUCAAUGCAUUGAAAGUGA
rnacentral:snRNA from 1 species